ACUAUUAUUCUUUUUGCCCUUCCAGAAUAAUUUUUUUUUUAUUGAUCGAAAAUGAUAAGUUAAGGGCACACCUAAAAAAAAUUCUUCGCUUCUCUCUCAAAAUAAUAAUCGAACGGAAGCAACAUGAUGCAUCAUCACCGAUCUACGAAGGAAUAACACGAAUCCUUUUUUUUUUGUUGAUCAAUAGACUGUACGCUCAUAAAAACCAAUAUUUUCGAACUAAAAGUUAACGUUUUUUACUUUUCAGAUAAAGUUGCAUGUUUUCUCCGAUGAUAGAUCUGUUUAAUCAGAUGAGAAUCUGUUGUUUUUGUUUAUGUCCAAAGACAAUAUGAUAAAAUAAAUCACUUAAUACAAACCAAGCUCGGACACCUCGGAUCCAGAUUUUCCUAUCUCUUCAGUUAAAAAUUUUCUGGAUCUACAAAAGAAAAAAAAAUCGGGUGAAACAUGCUCAAAACUCACCGAUCAAGUGCAGAAUAAAGUACACAAUGUAUGAUGAUGAAGGACCUGAGAAAAUGUCCAACCAAAUCUUUACAGUACACAGAUAAGUCUCAGACCAUAGGGUUAUUGAGCUGUCUUAUAACUAUCUAGGCUGUUCUAUAAUUUUUUUAUUGUCUUUUUAAUGCUUACGAUUCAUCUGCAGGUCGUGCAGUGACAGAAAGUAGAGACAUAACUUUAUUCAUGUGACUCUAACCUCAAUCACAAAAACCUCAAACCUGAGAAAAGAUAAGUUUUUAUUUGUAGACAUAAAUUUCAAUGCAUAAAAUGACUAUAAUAUCUUUAAUAUUGUUACAUAUAUAAACUGUUAACAUAUAAACAUUUACUCCCCAAACUAAUCAAAUAGACCUGUCUACAUGUUGCGUGAAUUUUGUCACCCUGCAACAUAAAACGAUUUCACGUUAAAGCCUUAUAAAAUCAAGAUGUGAAACUCCAUAACUUAAAUUACUAUGAAUUUGUUCAGUUUACCUUGUCAGCGAAAACGAUUUCAAGGGUUUCACCAAAUGUUGCGUUUAUUUGCUUCCAGGUGUGAAUUACCAAGGAUUUCAAGGGUUUCACCAAAGGUUCUUUUGUGUGCGCAUUGGCCUUACGAUUGGGAAACUUCUUUGGAAAUAACUACUAAUCUAAGAUAAGGUUCUUUCCUAACUAAGAGAAAUGUGUAGAUGUAUACUGAAAAAUUUGGUACAUUUAUUUUUUAAGCAAUGAAAAUCAGUGUAUUCAAGAAACUAUCCUGAUGGUUUUUAUUAUAUGUACAGUUUUGAUUGCAUAC